AACUUAACAUGCAAAAUUUUCAAAAGAAAAUGACGCAAAGCUAAAGGGCCUAAAUUGCUAAAAACAUAUGGCAGCCAGUUGCUGUA
rnacentral:ncRNA from 1 species